rnacentral:misc_RNA from 1 species
CGCAAGUCUUGAACGAUUUCUUUAAUUCUUUCUAUCCCCAUCAGCACGACUAUCGUGUCGACAGCAGAAGCUACAACUUUCAAAUUUAAAUCCGAAUGAUUUUUCCCCAGAUUCUCUUGGCCAGUAACGAAGGCAACAGAUGACGAGUAGUUUCUGUGGGUAAGAGGGAUCCCUGCAUAGGCUGGAGCAGCAACUGCUGAUGAAAUG